UACGUAGGGGGCAAGCGUUAUCCGGAUUUACUGGGUGUAAAGGGAGCGUAGACGGUUAUGCAAGUCAGAAGUGAAAGCCCAAAGCUCAACUUCGGGACUGCUUUUGAAAUUGUGUAACUAGAGUGCAGGAGGGGUAAGCGGAAUUCCUAGUGUAGCGGUGAAAUGCGUAGAUAUUAGGAGGAACACCGGCGGCGAAGGCGGCUUACUGGACUGUAACUGACGUUGAGGCUCGAAAGCGUGGGGAGCAAACAGG
rnacentral:rRNA from 1 species